AUUGAACGCUGGCGGCAUGCCUUACACAUGCAAGUCGAACGGUAACGGGCCUUCGGGCGCCGACGAGUGGCGAACGGGGGAGUAAUACAUCGGAACGUGCCCGAUCGUGGGGGAUAACGAGGCGAAAGCUUUGCUAAUACCGCAUACGAUCUACGGAUGAAAGCAGGGGACCGCAAGGCCUUGCGCGGACGGAGCGGCCGAUGGCAGAUUAGGUAGUUGGUGGGAUAAAAGCUUACCAAGCCGACGAUCUGUAGCUGGUCUGAGAGGAUGAUCAGCCACACUGGGACUGAGACACGGCCCAGACUCCUACGGGAGGCAGCAGUGGGGAAUUUUGGACAAUGGGCGCAAGCCUGAUCCAGCCAUGCCGCGUGCAGGAUGAAGGCCUUCGGGUUGUAAACUGCUUUUGUACGGAACGAAAAGCCUUCUUUUAAUACAGGAGGGUCAUGACGGUACCGUAAGAAUAAGCACCGGCUAACUACGUG
rnacentral:rRNA from 1 species